rnacentral:rRNA from 1 species
AGAACGAACGCUGGCGGCAUGCCUAAUACAUGCAAGUCGAACGAGAUCUUCGGAUCUAGUGGCGCACGGGUGCGUAACGCGUGGGAAUCUACCCUUGGGUUCGGAAUAACAGUUGGAAACGACUGCUAAUACCGGAUGAUGACGAAAGUCCAAAGAUUUAUCGCCCAGGGAUGAGCCCGCGUAGGAUUAGCUAGUUGGUGAGGUAAAGGCUCACCAAGGCGACGAUCCUUAGCUGGUCUGAGAGGAUGAUCAGCCACACGUGGGACUGAGACACGGCCCAG